GACAGCCACGGUCGUGUGUGCCUGUAGUCCCAACUACUCGGGAGGCUGAGGUGGGAGGAUCACUUGAGCCCAGGAGUUCUGGGCUGCAAUGCGCUAUGCUGAUUGGGUGUCUGCACUAAGUUUGGUAUCAAUAUGGUGACCUCCUGGGAGCGGGGGACCACCAGGUUGCCUAAGGAGGGGUGAACCAGCCCAGGUCAGAAACGGACAGGUCAAAACUGCCGUGCUGAUCAGUAGUGGGAUUGCACCUGUGAAUAGCUACUGCACCCCAGGCUAAGCAACAUAGCCAGACCCUGUCUUU
rnacentral:SRP_RNA from 1 species